GNAUUUAUUGGGCGUAAAGCGAGCGCAGGCGGUUAGAUAAGUNUGAAGUUAAAGGCUGUGGCUUAACCAUAGUACGCUUNGGAAACUGUUUAACUUGAGUGCAGAAGGGGAGAGUGGAAUUCCAUGUGUAGCGGUGAAAUGCGUAGAUAUAUGGAGGANCACCGGUGGCGAAAGCGGCUCUCUGGUCUGUAACUGACGCUGAGGCUCGAAAGCGUGGGGAGCGAACAGGAUUAGAUACCUUGGUAGUCCACGCCGUAAACGAUGAGUGCUAGGUGUUAGGCCCUUUCCGGGGCUUAGUGCCGCAGCUAACGCAUUAAGCACUCCGCCUGGGGAGUACGACCGCAAGGUUGAAACUCAAAGGAAUUGACGGGGGCCCGCACAAGCGGUGGAGCAUGUGGUUUAAUUCGAAGCAACGCGAAGAACCUUACCAGGUCUUGACAUCCCGAUGCCCGCUCUAGAGAUAGAGUUUUACUUCGGUACAUCGGUGACAGGUGGUGCAUGGUUGUCGUCAGCUCGUGUCGUGAGAUGUUGGGUUAAGUCCCGCAACGAGCGCAACCCUUAUUGUUAGUUGCCAUCAUUCAGUUGGGCACUCUAGCGAGACUGCCGGUAAUAAACCGGAGGAAGGUGGGGAUGACGUCAAAUCAUCAUGCCCCUUAUGACCUGGGCUACACACGUGCUACAAUGGCUGGUACAACGAGUCGCAAGUCGGUGACGGCAAGCUAAUCGCUUAAAGCCAGUCUCAGUUCGGAUUGUAGGCUGCAACUCGCCUACAUGAAGUCGGAAUCGCUAGUAAUCGCGGAUCAGCACGCCGCGGUGAAUACGUUCCCGGGCCUUGUNCAC
rnacentral:rRNA from 1 species